rnacentral:rRNA from 1 species
GUGGGGAAUUUUCCGCAAUGGGCGAAAGCCUGACGGAGCAAUACCGCGUGAGGGAUGACGGCCUAUGGGUUGUAAACCUCUUUUUUCAGGGAGGAAUAAAUGACGUGUACCUGAAGAAUAAGCAUCGGCUAACUCCGUGCCAGCAGCCGCGGUAAGACGGAGGAUGCAAGUGUUAUCCGGAAUCAUUGGGCGUAAAGGGCAUGUAGGCGGUUAUGUAAGUGUGGGUUAAAAUAUCCGAGCUUAACUCGGAACCUGGCCUGCAAACUGCAUAACUAGAGUUCAGGAUGGGAAGCUGGAAUUCCGCGUGUAGGGGUGAAAUCUGUAGAUAUGCGGAAGAAUACCGGCGGCGAAGGCGAGUUUCUGGCCUGAAACUGACGCUGAGAUGCGAAAGUGUGGGGAGCAAACAGGAUUAGAUACCCGGGUAGUCC